GUUAGCCAACAUUUAAGUCAUCUCUAUCUUCUUUGUUUUCUCUCUUGAAUAUUAGAAUUAGAAUACUUGUUGCAAAAAUUUGAGGUUGUGAUGAUGAUUUUCUUCUUUGUUUCUCCGAGAAUGAGAAAAUUGAUAGUGUAAGAGAGCAAUCGGACCCGUAUCUUGGCGGGGCAACUCGGAUGGAAGGUUAUCCUGCAACCGGUACUUGCAGUCAUGGCGGUGAUUCCAAUCUCUCAUAUUGUAUUACAAAUCCGAGCUUCAAUGUUUAAAUUUCUUAGGGUUUAUUGAAAAUCGCCUCUUUACCUCCACAAGAUAGAGACACACAACAGUGCUUUAGGUUUAAUCCAUCUCUCGCCUUCUCUCGCGUAUGGCUGUAUGUACCUUUUAGAGACAGAAAGAGCAAACUCAAGUUGCAGGACAAUGAAGAAGAAACAGAGCAAGUAGUUUUAGAGCUCUUUAUGUGUGUGGUGCUGUUGUAUCAUGUAAAUUAUUAUAUCGUAUUUUUAUUAUCAUUUUUUCGUUAUCUCUAUUUGUUUUUUUAUUAUAUUUUUUUUGUUCUACAUUGAGAUUUCUCUGCAUCCAAAGAAGACCCAAUUCGGUUCUUCUGAUUCUAGGCAGAUUAGGUUGAUUUGCUACAUUUGUAGAAUUUGACUAUUUGUUGAAUCCACUAAUUUGAGGUGACAAAUCUGGUAGCUCACUAGAUUUGCUUAACUGUUUAUUUACACAUAUUGCUCGAAUGUUAACCUGCUCCCUUUUUUCCUUCACUCUGCACUUUGAAAAAUAUUUGUUGUCUAUGUAUUUUGCAUCUUUGUUGUUUCAAAUACAAGUACUAACACCUAAUCAUUACUUUAUAAUUGUACAGGUAUUCCAUUUCAAGUUUAUAAGGAGGCUACAAGAAGUCUAAUUUAUGAAUAGUUACCUUGUGUGUGAUGUUAAAGAGUGUAUUUUAGCAUUUAUCAAUAUAAAAAUGAAGUCAUGGACAUUGUUCCAAAAUGUCUAUGAAUUAUGUCUUGAGUUGCUUUUCAAGGAGUAAGGUGUGAGAAAGUAUUGUUUAAUGAAGAAGGUAAAAAGGUGCAAUUCAAUUUUAAGACCAAGUGUUGAGUUGGUCUUUCACAUUAAACUUGAGGAAAAAAAAAAAGAACUAACUUCAGUGAAUGCAUAUUAGUACUGUAGGAUCUUACUCAUUCAUGAUGGCUUUCUUUUGUUACUUAAUUGUAAUCUUCCAAAACUUGUUUUGCUUGAACAGGGUUCAUCGUUUAGGGAAAUAUCAGAUCCGAAAAUGUUUUGCUACGAAUUGACAGGUUUGUUUAUUUGCUUCUUAUAAACUUCUGUAAAUUCUUCCAUACCUCCGUUUUACUAUUUAUUGUUGCGUGAAUCUGCGAAAGUUUUUGCUGUCUUUUAGUGCUAUGAAAGAAAGUUACUUUGAUAAUAGAAGUAUAGUAAGAUUUAUAAAUACUAGGAUUAGUCAAAUAACCUCUAGAAUUCAAAUUUUCGCUACUGUUUGAGUAUAUUUAUAGUGAGGGACGUUCAUGUCACGAGUGUCAACUCUGACGUCGACCCAAAGUUGGGGAAAGUAUUUGAGUGGAAACAUAACAUAGGGGCAUGUGCAUACUCUUGAGUUUUUCUGAUGAACAAUGAGGUUUGACUAGCUAACUAGAAGGGAAUUUUUCAACUAUUAAAUAAGACUGAGUCUUUUCUCGACUAAAAGGAUGUCUUUUAGUUUUAAACCAUAUACUUCUAUUGUUUUCUCCUUAGAGUUGUUGACCUCAUCCAAUCCUUGUCAUUUUGAUCAAUGUAUUUUGUUCCGCUAGAUUGUUGGACAGAUUGUAGGAGAAACAACACAGUAAAUUCGAUAAUGAAGCUUAUUUAGAUGAGAAUCACAUGUUAUUUAAAAAUAUCCAGUUCCUUGUCGAAGUAUUGCACCCUCUACUCUAUUUUAUUUCGUAUGAAAUCUCUUCUAAUUGCUGAUUUCUACACUUCUGAAACGCACACAUGGGCACAUUGCUGAUUUCGUAUGUUGUUGUUAUCGUCGUCAAAUUAGUAAUGUUUUGCUCCAUUUUUAAGAUUCUUAUAUUUGAAUUUGUGCAUAUGAUGUGUCUUUUACUGUAGUCUACACAACACAUCGAAUUGCCACAUACUUUGUUAAGUGGUUGGGGAAGAGUACUCCUGGUUUGUCAUAUGGAUUGGCCCUGAGUGAGGCUUUGAUUGCACCUGCAAUGCCCAACACUAUGGCAAGAGCUGGUGGGGUAUUUUUGCCUAUUAUUAAGUCUCUCACUUUCAGCUGGAAGUAAGCGUGGUGAUCCCUCCUCCAGGAAGCUAGGAUCUUACUUGAUUCAAUCUCAAUUCUAUGG